UGGGGAAUAUUGGACAAUGGGCGAAAGCCUGAUCCAGCAAUGCCGCGUGUGUGAAGAAGGUCUUAGGAUUGUAAAGCACUUUCGACGGGGACGAUGAUGACGGUACCCGUAGAAGAAGCCCCGGCUAACUUCGUGCCAGCAGCCGCGGUAAUACGAAGGGGGCUAGCGUUGCUCGGAAUGACUGGGCGUAAAGGGCGCGUAGGCGGAUUGUUUAGUUAGGUGUGAAAUUCCUGGGCUUAACCUGGGGACUGCACUUAAUACAGGCAGUCUAGAGUGGGAUAGAGGGUUGUGGAAUUCCCAGUGUAGAGGUGAAAUUCGUAGAUAUUGGGAAGAACACCGGUGGCGAAGGCGGCAACCUGGAUCUUUACUGACGCUGAGGCGCGAAAGCGUGGGGAGCAAACA
rnacentral:rRNA from 1 species